rnacentral:rRNA from 1 species
ACGAACGCUGGCGGCGUGCUUAACACAUGCAAGUCGAACGGAAAGGCCCUGCUUUUGUGGGGUGCUCGAGUGGCGAACUGGUGAGUAACACGUGAGUAACCUGCCCUUGACUUUGGGAUAACUUCAGGAAACUGGGGCUAAUACCGGAUAGGAGCUCCUGCUGCAUGGUGGGGGUUGGAAAGUUUCGGCGGUUGGGGAUGGACUCGCGGCUUAUCAGCUUGUUGGUGGGGUAGUGGCUUACCAAGGCUUUGACGGGUAGCCGGCCUGAGAGGGUGACCGGCCACAUUGGGACUGAGAUACGGCCCAGACUCCUACGGGAGGCAGCAGUGGGGAAUAUUGCACAAUGGGCGGAAGCCUGAUGCAGCAACGCCGCGUGCGGGAUGACGGCCUUCGGGUUGUAAACCGCUUUCGCCUGUGACGAAGCGUGAGUGACGGUAAUGGGUAAAGAAGCACCGGCUAACUACGUG